rnacentral:rRNA from 1 species
UAGGGAAUAUUGGACAAUGGGGGCAACCCUGAUCCAGCCAUGCCGCGUGAGUGAAGAAGGCCCUCGGGUUGUAAAGCUCUUUUGUCCGGAAAGAAAAGCUUCGGGUUAAUACCCCGGGGUUCUGACGGUACCGGAAGAAUAAGCACCGGCUAACUUCGUGCCAGCAGCCGCGGUAAUACGAAGGGUGCAAGCGUUACUCGGAAUUACUGGGCGUAAAGCGUGCGUAGGUGGUUGUUUAAGUCUGAUGUGAAAGCCCUGGGCUCAACCUGGGAAGGGCAUUGGAAACUGGGCAGCUAGAGUGCGGUAGAGGGGAGUGGAAUUCCCGGUGUAGCAGUGAAAUGCGUAGAGAUCGGGAGGAACAUCUGUGGCGAAGGCGACUGCCUGGACCAGCACUGACACUGAGGCACGAAAGCGUGGGGAGCAAACA